GCCCUCACUAAUGCUGCGUUUCUUUGCUCACAUACUGAUGGCUGGUAUCCCCACGCUCAUCUUAAAUGGCAAAUGAGAAAUUCGGAGUAAUCCUCAACCUCUGUCAUCAACCCGUAGCACGCACCUGCGCCUGCGGAUUGCUCUGACCACUGCCCGUGAGGGUCUGCCAUGACAUGCAUGGCUGCACUUGGCAUCAGAAAUCUCAGCCGCCGUGCCUCGUCCUCUUUUUGAAGAUGAGUUCUCGGUCUCUGGCUAUGGGAGCCGGUGCGAGGAUUGUGUGUACUGCCUCGGCGAGGAGUACGAUCACCUUAGUGCAAUACGCAGCGUAUCUGUAAUCCUCUUAACACGCCGCUGUAUUAUUACAGCACGUAGAGGACUGAAGGAUAUCAUUCAAUUCCGAUUACUCUGGUGAGGGC
rnacentral:RNase_P_RNA from 2 species